AUGCUUCCUGCAAUGCUUCAUGCUUCCAAAUAUAUGUACCCAGUUGGCAGUAAAUUUGCUUUGUUUUCAUUUUUCAAAUUUUCAUGCUUCCAUCUAAGACUAAACCUGCAUGGCUGCACCCUUUGCAAUGAUCUGUCCCAGCUUCGUACAUGCAUGCUUCUAAAGUGUGACCAAUUUGCUACGGUCGUCUGGAAAAAUGCAUCCAUUGGUCUAAUUGUUUUCAAAUACAAUUUUGUUUCCGGUCCAUUAUAUAUUAUUGUUAAAGGAUUCGUCUUGAUAUCAUGUUUCUUUCUCUUGUAUGUACUUCACAGAUUACCAAAUUAUGAUUAA
rnacentral:rRNA from 1 species